UACGUAGGGGGCAAGCGUUGUCCGGAUUUAUUGGGCGUAAAGAGCGUGUAGGCGGCCAUGCAGGUCCGUUGUGAAAACUCGAGGCUCAACCUCGAGACGCCGAUGGAAACCGCAUGGCUAGAGUCCGGAAGAGGAGAGUGGAAUUCCUGGUGUAGCGGUGAAAUGCGCAGAUAUCAGGAAGAACACCCGUGGCUAAGGCGGCUCUCUGGGACGGUACUGACGCUGAGACGCGAAAGCGUGGGGAGCGAACAGG
rnacentral:rRNA from 1 species